GUUAGCCUUUGUUAAGAUAGGGUAACAUCUACUCAUGGAUAUGUUUGGGGAAGAAGACACGAGACUGGAACACUGGAGUGUCUCACGCUGUGGCUGCUGGUGUUGUUGUUCCUGGCCAGCCUGCUCUUCUCUUAAUACUGCAGACAGACGAUCGUUCUGUUCUCCAGUCCUUUCUUAGGUCCCCCUCUCCGAUGUUUUCCUCACCUGCCUGUGCGUGGUCUCCUAGGAAACAGGGAGUGUCACCUCAAAGUGGAGAGGGGUGUCUGUGUGUGAUUGUGCCCCAGGAGACAUUUGGCAAUGUCUGGGGACAUUUUUUGUUGUCACAACCGGGGGAUUUAGGCAGCUAUUGGCGUCUAGUGAGUAGAGGUCAGAGACGCUGCUGAACACGUCACAAGACGUAGGACAGCGCCCUCCAACCAAGAAUUACCGGGCCCCAGUGUCAGUUGGGCGGAGGUUGAGAAGCCCUCGGGACCACCUGAGGAGUGUCGUCCUGGUGGUCACCUAAGGAUUCUGAUGUGCCCAAGUGUAUCAUAACUCUCCCAAAGCAGGGAAAAGAUCAUCUCCCGGAUGAAGGCGUUGUAGUUUCUCCCAACACUGUUGGCUGCUUUUUCCUUUGGCCUGAUUGCAUCAGCAAGCCGAGUGGCUUCUGGGAAUGUUCUUCGUCUUCCUGUGCAAAGCUUGAGGGAAGUCGGGAGUCUUGCCUGCAGGAUUGUAACCCCCAUAGUGCUUAGUGACAAGUUCAGGUCUGCCAGGAAUACUAAGCUCAAAAGAGCAAACGUGAGUGGGCUCCACUCUGGGUUUGCUAUCACAUCACCCAAAACCAAGUGGAGGAGAUGGAUUCCCAACCAAAAGCACAGUCCAAGCCAGAGUGGCACAGUCCUCAAUCAAUGUGUAACCAGGAUGUGGACUAAAGAGGAAGUUCCAAGUUGGGGGGGAUGCACAGAGCCUUCCCAGACCACGGAGCAUUGGAGGACGAGGCUUUCCCCAAGUACAGAAUAAAGGAACAAACUGCUGCAGAGAUGAUGGAAACUCACCCUUGGCUAUUCAAGUACCUGGUACACUUGGGAAAAAUAAAAGAUUUGAGUCUGAGUGUCA
ensembl:lncRNA